UGAGCUUCUCGGCCUCAUGGCAAAGACCAAAGUGUAGUAGUCUGAUAGAUUCUCUAUUGGCGGAUAACAAAAGUUAGAAAUUUAACGGAGUGCUUUAGGAGCUUGCUUCACCUGCGUCACGGUUUGGUCCGGUAUUGCAGUACCGCCGGGAUUUUUGGCCACAAUUG